rnacentral:rRNA from 1 species
UACGUAGGGUGCAAGCGUUAAUCGGAAUUACUGGGCGUAAAGCGUGCGCAGGCGGUUAUGCAAGACAGAUGUGAAAUCCCCGGGCUUAACCUGGGAACUGCAUUUGUGACUGCAUAGCUGGAGUACGGUAGAGGGGGAUGGAAUUCCGCGUGUAGCAGUGAAAUGCGUAGAUAUGCGGAGGAACACCGAUGGCGAAGGCAGUCCCCUGGACCUGUACUGACGCUCAUGCACGAAAGCGUGGGGAGCAACAGG